rnacentral:rRNA from 1 species
GACGAACGCUGGCGGCGUGCUUAACACAUGCAAGUCGAACGGAAAGCGCUGGAUGCUGGCUUCUAUCCUUCUUAGUGGAGCGCGUGUGAGUAACGCGUAAUAACCCUGCUCUACAGCGGGGGACACUAGUUGAAAAGGACUGAUAAUACCAUAUACGCUCUAAUCACGGCAUCGAGGUGAGAUGAAAGGUGGUCUCUUCCUGUAAGCUCUCACUGCCGGUGGGGUUUGCGUCGGAUUAGUUAGGUGUCGGGGUAACGACGCAUCACGGCGAUGAUCAGUAGCGUGUCUGAGAGGAGGAACGGGCACAUUAGGACGGGAACGCGACCCAGACUCCUACGGGAGGCAGCAGUGGGGAAUCUUCCGCAAUGGACGAAAGUCUGGCGGGACAACGCGGCGUGGGUGAUGACGGGCCUCGGGUUGUAAAGCACUGUCAUUCGGGUCGAAAGGACGUCCUGCGAACAGUGAGAAUGAUUGACGGUACCGGGAUAGAAAGCCACGGCUAACUACGUG